rnacentral:rRNA from 1 species
UACGUAGGGAGCAAGCGUUGUCCGGAAUCAUUGGGCGUAAAGAGCGCGUAGGCGGCCCUGUAAGUCCGUUCUGAAAGUCAAAGGCUCAACCUUUGAAAGCGGAUGGAUACUGCAGGGCUAGAGUCCGGAAGAGGCGAGUGGAAUUCCUGGUGUAGCGGUGGAAUGCGCAGAUAUCAGGAGGAACACCAACGGCGAAGGCAGCUCGCUGGGACGGUACUGACGCUGAGGCGCGAAAGCUAGGGGAGCGAACAGG